rnacentral:rRNA from 1 species
CUCUACUCCUGCGGGAGGCAGCAGUGGGGAAUAUUGCACAGGGGGCGCAAGCCUGGUGCAGCGACGCCGCGUGAGGGAUGACGGCCUUCGGGUUGUAAACCUCUUUCAGUAGGGAAGAAGCGUAAGUGACGGUACCUGCAGAAGAAGCGCCGGCUAACUACGUGCCAGCAGCCGCGGUAAUACGUAGGGCGCAAGCGUUAUCCGGAAUUAUUGGGCGUAAAGAGCUCGUAGGCGGUUUGUCGCGUCUGCCGUGAAAGUCCGGGGCUCAACUCCGGAUCUGCGGUGGGUACGGGCAGACUAGAGUGAUGUAGGGGAGACUGGAAUUCCUGGUGUAGCGGUGAAAUGCGCAGAUAUCAGGAGGAACACCGAUGGCGAAGGCAGGUCUCUGGGCAUUAACUGACGCUGAGGAGCGAAAGCAUGGGGAGCGAACAGGAUUAGAUACCCUGGUAGUCCAUGCCGUAAACGUUGGGCACUAGGUGUGGGGGACAUUCCACGUUUUCCGCGCCGUAGCUAACGCAUUAAGUGCCCCGCCUGGGGAGUACGGCCGCAAGGCUAAAACUCAAAGGAAUUGACGGGGGCCCGCACAAGCGGCGGAGCAUGCGGAUUAAUUCGAUGCAACGCGAAGAACCUUACCAAGGCUUGACAUGGACCGGACCGCCGCAGAAAUGUGUUUACCCCCUUGG